UUAAGCGACUAAGCGUACACGGUGGAUGCCCUGGCAGUCAGAGGCGAUGAAGGACGUGCUAAUCUGCGAUAAGCGUCGGUAAGGUGAUAUGAACCGUUAUAACCGGCGAUUUCCGAAUGGGGAAACCCAGUGUGAUCCGUCACACUAUCAUUAACUGAAUCCAUAGGUUAAUGAGGCGAACCGGGGGAACUGAAACAUCUAAGUACCCCGAGGAAAAGAAAUCAACCGAGAUUCCCCCAGUAGCGGCGAGCGAACGGGGAGGAGCCCAGAGCCUGAAUCAGUGUGUGUGUUAGUGGAAGCGUCUGGAAAGGCGUGCGAUACAGGGUGACAGCCCCGUACACAAAAAUGCACAUGCUGUGAGCUCGAUGAGUAGGGCGGGACACGUGGUAUCCUGUCUGAAUAUGGGGGGACCAUCCUCCAAGGCUAAAUACUCCUGACUGACCGAUAGUGAACCAGUACCGUGAGGGAAAGGCGAAAAGAACCCCGGCGAGGGGAGUGAAAAAGAACCUGAAACCGUGUACGUACAAGCAGUGGGAGCCUCUUUAAUGGGGUGACUGCGUACCUUUUGUAUAAUGGGUCAGCGACUUAUAUUCUGUAGCAAGGUUAACCGAAUAGGGGAGCCGAAGGGAAACCGAGUCUUAACUGGGCGUUAAGUUGCAGGGUAUAGACCCGAAACCCGGUGAUCUAGCCAUGGGCAGGUUGAAGGUUGGGUAACACUAACUGGAGGACCGAACCGACUAAUGUUGAAAAAUUAGCGGAUGACUUGUGGCUGGGGGUGAAAGGCCAAUCAAACCGGGAGAUAGCUGGUUCUCCCCGAAAGCUAUUUAGGUAGCGCCUCGUGAAUUCAUCUCCGGGGGUAGAGCACUGUUUCGGCAAGGGGGUCAUCCCGACUUACCAACCCGAUGCAAACUGCGAAUACCGGAGAAUGUUAUCACGGGAGACACACGGCGGGUGCUAACGUCCGUCGUGAAGAGGGAAACAACCCAGACCGCCAGCUAAGGUCCCAAAGUCAUGGUUAAGUGGGAAACGAUGUGGGAAGGCCCAGACAGCCAGGAUGUUGGCUUAGAAGCAGCCAUCAUUUAAAGAAAGCGUAAUAGCUCACUGGUCGAGUCGGCCUGCGCGGAAGAUGUAACGGGGCUAAACCAUGCACCGAAGCUGCGGCAGCGACACUAUGUGUUGUUGGGUAGGGGAGCGUUCUGUAAGCCGUUGAAGGUGGCCUGUGAGGGUUGCUGGAGGUAUCAGAAGUGCGAAUGCUGACAUAAGUAACGAUAAAGCGGGUGAAAAGCCCGCUCGCCGGAAGACCAAGGGUUCCUGUCCAACGUUAAUCGGGGCAGGGUGAGUCGACCCCUAAGGCGAGGCCGAAAGGCGUAGUCGAUGGGAAACAGGUUAAUAUUCCUGUACUUGGUGUUACUGCGAAGGGGGGACGGAGAAGGCUAUGUUGGCCGGGCGACGGUUGUCCCGGUUUAAGCGUGUAGGCUGAUUUUCCAGGCAAAUCCGGAGAAUCAAGGCUGAGGCGUGAUGACGAGGCACUACGGUGCUGAAGCAACAAAUGCCCUGCUUCCAGGAAAAGCCUCUAAGCAUCAGGUAACAUCAAAUCGUACCCCAAACCGACACAGGUGGUCAGGUAGAGAAUACCAAGGCGCUUGAGAGAACUCGGGUGAAGGAACUAGGCAAAAUGGUGCCGUAACUUCGGGAGAAGGCACGCUGAUAUGUAGGUGAAGCGACUUGCUCGUGGAGCUGAAAUCAGUCGAAGAUACCAGCUGGCUGCAACUGUUUAUUAAAAACACAGCACUGUGCAAACACGAAAGUGGACGUAUACGGUGUGACGCCUGCCCGGUGCCGGAAGGUUAAUUGAUGGGGUCAGCCGCAAGGCGAAGCUCUUGAUCGAAGCCCCGGUAAACGGCGGCCGUAACUAUAACGGUCCUAAGGUAGCGAAAUUCCUUGUCGGGUAAGUUCCGACCUGCACGAAUGGCGUAAUGAUGGCCAGGCUGUCUCCACCCGAGACUCAGUGAAAUUGAACUCGCUGUGAAGAUGCAGUGUACCCGCGGCAAGACGGAAAGACCCCGUGAACCUUUACUAUAGCUUGACACUGAACAUUGAGCCUUGAUGUGUAGGAUAGGUGGGAGGCUUUGAAGUGUGGACGCCAGUCUGCAUGGAGCCGACCUUGAAAUACCACCCUUUAAUGUUUGAUGUUCUAACGUGGACCCGUGAUCCGGGUUGCGGACAGUGUCUGGUGGGUAGUUUGACUGGGGCGGUCUCCUCCUAAAGAGUAACGGAGGAGCACGAAGGUUGGCUAAUCCUGGUCGGACAUCAGGAGGUUAGUGCAAUGGCAUAAGCCAGCUUGACUGCGAGCGUGACGGCGCGAGCAGGUGCGAAAGCAGGUCAUAGUGAUCCGGUGGUUCUGAAUGGAAGGGCCAUCGCUCAACGGAUAAAAGGUACUCCGGGGAUAACAGGCUGAUACCGCCCAAGAGUUCAUAUCGACGGCGGUGUUUGGCACCUCGAUGUCGGCUCAUCACAUCCUGGGGCUGAAGUAGGUCCCAAGGGUAUGGCUGUUCGCCAUUUAAAGUGGUACGCGAGCUGGGUUUAGAACGUCGUGAGACAGUUCGGUCCCUAUCUGCCGUGGGCGCUGGAGAACUGAGGGGGGCUGCUCCUAGUACGAGAGGACCGGAGUGGACGCAUCACUGGUGUUCGGGUUGUCAUGCCAAUGGCACUGCCCGGUAGCUAAAUGCGGAAGAGAUAAGUGCUGAAAGCAUCUAAGCACGAAACUUGCCCCGAGAUGAGUUCUCCCUGAGACUUUAAGUCUCCUGAAGGAACGUUGAAGACGACGACGUUGAUAGGCCGGGUGUGUAAGCGCAGCGAUGCGUUGAGCUAACCGGUACUAAUGAACCGUGAGGCUUAACCU
rnacentral:rRNA from 1 species